rnacentral:lncRNA from 1 species
GUAGCUUCCUAGAGAACUCUACAGGGAGUUCCCACGUACUGGUGUACCAGUAAAGAAACACAUCACUUCCACCAUAGACCAACAAGAGCACAUAAAAGAAAAAAAAAAAAAAGAAAAAAACAACAACAAACGUUAAGGUGACUUGUACAAAUAGAAAAAGUUAAGCUGGCAGUAACAACUCUUGCACAAGAGCAAGAGAUUCUGCUCAGAAGCAUGAAGAUCUUCCACUGAAGUCUUGGACCAGAAAAUACAACUCCAACUACUUUGUAAAUAUACUUAUCAUAAGAAGGUUAAUUGAGAUCUUCUAAAAUGAUUGGCAUCUGUGAGUGCUGUGAAGAAUGAUGGCAUCAUCUAAGAAUGGUGUUUCAUUCUUCAGAAAACAACAUGGUGAUGUGGCAGCAGUCAAUAAGUGGAAGAUCAAACCUGGUAUUACUGAUGUACUGAAGUGAAUCGCUAGCUGAAGAAAGUGGGCAUCGAAGGAGCUGAAAGGAUGCCUGAGAGCAGAAAUCUGGCAGCAUAAGCUCUGUGAUGAAUUCUUCUGAACUGAGCUUGGCUUGGAAGCACACCUGUUUUUGCAUCUUUACUUCCCAGAAAGCCUGCUCUGUGCACAGAAGCUGUACAAUGUUUUUAUAUGUUACUAUAGCUGGAUGGGAUGGAAAUACAGAAUGCACCAUGGUUGGAG